rfam:Triticum aestivum genome assembly, contig: Triticum_aestivum_CS42_TGACv1_scaffold_112508_2AS
CAAGUACCCCCUCCGUUCAGAAUUACUUGUCAUCAAAAUGGAUGUGUCUAGAACUAAAAUACAUCUAGAUACAUCCAUUUCAAUGACAAGUAUUUUCGAACGGAGGGAGUACAAG